AUUGAACGCUGGCGGCAGGCCUAACACAUGCAAGUCGAACGAAUGGAGGACGGGUGAGUAAUGUCUGGGCAACUGCACGAUGGAGGGGGAUAACUACUGGAAACGGUAGCUAAUACCGCAUACAAUCGGAUGUGCCCAGCUGGGCUUAGCUAGUAGGUGGGGUAAUGGCUCACCUAGGCGACGAUGCCGAGCUGGUCUGAGCGGAAGACCGGCCACACUGGAACUGAGACACGGUCCAGACUCCGACGUGAGGCAGCAGUGGGGAAUAUUGCACAAUGGGCGCAAGCCUGAUGCAGCCAUGCCGCGUGUAUGAAGAAGGCCUUCGGGUUGUAAAGUACUUUCAGCGAGGAGGCGUUACUCGCAGAAGAAGCACCGGCUAACUCCGUGCCAGCAGCCGCGGUAAUUC
rnacentral:rRNA from 1 species